AGUGAUAUACCUGGGUCAAAUGGUGGUCCCAUUCCUAGUUUUUUGAGGAAUCUCCAUACUGCUUUCCAGAGUGGUUGCACCAAUUUGCAGUCCCAACAGCAAG
rnacentral:pre_miRNA from 1 species